UAGAGCUUGAGAGCUGAUAAAGUGAGA
rnacentral:piRNA from 1 species